GUAACUGCGAGUGAAGUGGGAAAAGCUCAAAUUUAAAAUCUGGCAGUCUCUGAUUGUCCGAGUUGUAAUCUAGAGAAGCAUUAUCCGCGCUGGACCGUGUACAAGUCUCCUGGAAUGGAGCGUCGUAGAGGGUGAGAAUCCCGUUUUCGACACGGACUACCCGAGCUUUGUGAUGUGCUCUCGAAGAGUCGAGUUGUUUGGGAAUGCAGCUCUAAAUGGGUGGUAAAUUCCAUCUAAAGCUAAAUAUUGGCGAGAGACCGAUAGCGAACAAGUACCGUGAGGGAAAGAUGAAAAGAACUUUGGAAAGAGAGUUAAACAGUACGUGAAAUUGUUGAAAGGGAAACGCUUGAAGUCAGUCGCAUUGAUCAGGAAUCAACCUUGUCGCUUGACUUGGUGUAUUUUCUGGUUGAUGGGUCAGCAUCAAUUUUGACCAGUAGAAAAAGGUUGAGGGAAUGUGGCAUCUUCGGAUGUGUUAUAGCCCUCUAUUGCAUAUAUUGGUUAGAAUUGAGGAAUUCAGCAUGCCGCAAGGCCGGAUUUUAAAUCACGCUCGUGCUUA
rnacentral:rRNA from 1 species